UCUUGCGCACCCACACAGAUGGACGAGUUAAGCUAGAAGUGGAUGGGAGUAGCGGCAGGACAGAUAUUCCGAGGGCGCCCAUUGAACGAUUGACUUUGAAGCCAUCGGAGCCUCCCAUUGCAAACAGCAAGCCGUCCACCACUGUGAUGCCGAAAUAGCUCCUUUGUUGUUUCAUGGGAGGCGCAGCGUGCCACUGGUUAAUUGCAGGGUCAUAAACCUCCAUACUCCGCACUGGAUGAGCCCCGUUGGUACCGCCCACCUGGGAGACACCAAUGAGUACAAGAAAGGAAUCACUCACCGCAUAGAUGUUUCCCUGAUAUGCAACUACUUCAAGGCCACGUCGGCGAGUGCGCAUGGGAGCGAUCAAGGUCCAUUCGCCCGUGAGAGGAUCAUAGCACUCCGCAGUGGAAGUGGUCUGAGCUUCAUUGUUACCCCCACAAAUGUAUAUCUAGGAAAGAUGGUUCACAAGUGAUGUGUGUUAUGCUGUAUAUGAUUGGAGAUGGAGAUCUAGAAAGCAUAAAUGUACAUUUAGCUAAUGCAUGUUUAAUCCAUCCAUC